rnacentral:lncRNA from 1 species
CCGAAGCAUGCCAUUCUGCCCUGCCAGGCUCGGCCCUUGUCUUCCUCUCUCUGGAUUCUAGGGCUAUGAUGAGUCAAUAUUCGUUGACAAAUUAACUGGCUUGGGAAUCACCUGGGAAACACACCUCUGGGCAUGUCUGUGAGGGUCUGAAGAGGUUUUAAAUGGAAGAGGAGGAAACACCAACCCUGAAGGAACUAACCUCCCAAAGGGAACAAAGCCAGGAUCCUGUAAACAAACAAACGGGCUAAUUACAGGUUAGCUAUAGCUGAGAUCUGAAGUGUUUCCAAAAGGCCUUUGUGUUGCUUGGAACUAGGAGAAGGCAGAUGAACCCAGAGGGCAAAAGCAGUCAUGUUCAGAAACCUCUGGAACGCUCAAGGUCACCAACAUGCUAGUGUGGCCCAGUCCUCUGUGUCCUCUUUUCUGUGAGCCCUGAAGAUAUCCUUCUCACAACUGCACACAGCUGGCCUUCCUGGCCUUUGGCUCUUGGUGUGUGAAAGUCUACAGAACUGAAGAGCUCCAGCCCUCAACAUGACAGAAUGUCUGGAACCCGAGGGCAGGAUUGUUUGUCACUCAGGCAUCAGAAGACAAAGGCAACUGGAUGGUUUUGAAGCUCAUCAAUUUGAAAAGCACCGGUCCUGGGCACGGUGGUGCACGCCUUUAAUUCCGGCACUUGGAAGGUGGAAGCAGGUGACUGAUAGUUUGAGGCCAGCCUGCGGUUACACCAUGUGUUCCCUAUCUCAGA